AUAUAUGAAAGAAAGGUAAUGAAGUUGAUGACGCUGUCGUUUGACAUGUGAUCUGUCAUGAACUUAAGUAUAAAAAGUCGUGACUUGUGCACUUUCUUCACUCAUAAAUGAUGAACUCAUAUUAGAUAUUAUAUACAAAUCGUAGUUUAAAAACUAAUGAAGGAGGAUAUUGUCUAUGUUCUGGAAAGCUUUCCUUAAAGAAGUAAAAUAUUAUGCGAUCUCUACCUUACAAGCUUCAUACAUGAGUACAAUAGCGUUUUGUUCUCAUAACACACCUACCCCAGGUCUCGAUCCCUCGCUCAAGAAGAAGCGUGCCUAUAAAAAUCAGCAAAAGUGUCAAAUUAUAAAAAGGGCCAAGUCGCCCAAGACAGGCCCGAAAAAACAACCUCCUGAAUACGAUAGAAAAUCUGGUGAAAAUAUAUUUUGUAUGCGAAAUAUGGAGGGGGUUUAUUGCUCUUUUAGACAGGCGCCAAGACUAAGGUAAUUAAAAGGGUGAAAAAAUGGUCGGGACAGAAGAGCAAUUAUACAUGCAAUAGAUAAGAACUGUGGGAUUUACCAAUAAUUUUAUGUACACAGGCAAUCGUUUUAAAGUGUAAGCUUCAUAAAGUAAUAAAAAACACAAAAAAAAAUUGUAAAAGCGUAGGUAAGAUUAGUGUACAUUCAUAAUUUUUCUUGAAGGUAUGAAAAUUACAUCCAGGAAAGAUCCGGCAUUGACGCAUCUGAGAGAUAUUUAUUCAACUAAUGUUGUCGCCUUCAGCAUAACUUCCAUUAGAUAUAAUAUACUUGUGCCAGCGCUUCUUCCAAUCCUCGAAACACAUCAAUAUUAAGAAUAUAUUUCAAAAUAUUAAAACUGAAUUCUAUGGAAUUCUCAAUUAAAUAUCUCCGACUCAAUAUCGUCAUGCACUUUAACCAAACAAGAAUGGCACCCCUUCAUGUUUCUAAACGAUUAAUCACAAAUCUUCCCUUUCAUUUUCAAAUAAUAGAAACUUAUUUAAAAUGUCACAUGGUUCAAGAUUGAUCGUGCCGAUCAUAGAUUGAUUCAUGGAUUAAGCCGUCAAUAUACAGGAAAAUAAUCAAAAGCAUGUCGAAGGGAACGGAGGUUUUUAAUGGUGUUUUAGGGGUGAACCGGCUUGUUUUCUAGGGGAUGAUGGUGUCUAAGUAUAUUGACCUGGUAUAUUUUUUAUUUGAUAAAUUGAUUCUUUGGCAAACAUUUAUAAAAAAUUAUAGGGAAAAUAUUAGCAAAAGCUACUCUAUAUAAGAUUUUUAUACACUGAAUGUUUCAAUAGGAGGUUAAAAUUUUAGUGCUCAAUAAAACAUGGUUUUCUGUAGUAUUGAAAUA